GAAUAUUGUUUAAUGUUCACUUGUAUAAAUCUAGCAAUAUGGGCUGGAUGUCUCUACCGAGCUACCUUAAAUAGUUGUAGGCUAUAAGUGCAUAUGCUUAUUGA
rnacentral:ncRNA from 2 species